UGAGGAAUAUUGGGCAAUGCCCGCAAGGGUGACCCAGCAACGCCGCGUGGAGGAUGAAUGUCGUAAGAUUGUAAACUCCUGUUAGAGGGGAAGAAUAGUACCGGUUGGACCGGUAUAUGACUGUACCCUCAGAGAAAGCCCCGGCUAACUACGUGCCAGCAGCCGCGGUAAUACGUAGGGGGCAAGCGUUGUCCGGAUUUACUGGGUGUAAAGGGCGCGUAGGCGGCGCGGUAAGUCACUUGUGAAAUCUCUGAGCUUAACUCAGAACGGCCAAGUGAUACUGCUGUGCUAGAGUGCGGAAGAGGCUACCGGAAUUCUUGGUGUAGCGGUGAAAUGCGUAGAUAUCAAGAGGAACACCUGAGGCGAAGGCGGGUUGCUGGGCCGACACUGACGCUGAUGCGCGAAGGCCAGGGGAGCAAACG
rnacentral:rRNA from 1 species